GGGAUAUAAUGUUCAAAGAGAAGCUUCUAACUUUUCUUUUGGCGGUUUGAUUCCGUUGGUAUUCCU
rnacentral:tRNA from 1 species